rnacentral:rRNA from 1 species
UCGAACGAUGAAACCGCCCUCGGGCGGACAUGAAGUGGCGAACGGGUGAGUAACACGUGACCAACCUGCCCCUUGCUCCGGGACAACCUUGGGAAACCGAGGCUAAUACCGGAUACUCCUCGCCCCCCCUCCUGGGGGGCCCGGGAAAGCCCAGACGGCAAGGGAUGGGGUCGCGGCCCAUUAGGUAGUAGGCGGGGUAACGGCCCACCUAGCCCGCGAUGGGUAGCCGGGUUGAGAGACCGACCGGCCACAUUGGGACUGAGAUACGGCCCAGACUCCUACGGGAGGCAGCAUG